rnacentral:rRNA from 1 species
UUUAUGGAGAGUUUGAUCCUGGCUCAGGAUGAACGCUGGCGGCGUGCCUAAUACAUGCAAGUCGAGCGAACAGAUAAGGAGCUUGCUUCUUUGACGUUAGCGGCGGACGGGUGAGUAACACGUGGGUAACCUACCUAUAAGACUGGGAUAACUUCGGGAAACCGGAGCUAAUACCGGAUAAUAUUUCGAACCGCAUGGUUCGAUAGUGAAAGAUGGUUUUGCUAUCACUUAUAGAUGGACCCGCGCCGUAUUAGCUAGUUGGUAAGGUAACGGCUUACCAAGGCGACGAUACGUAGCCGACCUGAGAGGGUGAUCGGCCACACUGGAACUGAGACACGGUCCAGACUCCUACGGGAGGCAGCAGUAGGGAAUCUUCCGCAAUGGGCGAAAGCCUGACGGAGCAACGCCGCGUGAGUGAUGAAGGUCUUCGGAUCGUAAAACUCUGUUAUUAGGGAAGAACAUACGUGUAAGUAACUGUGCACGUCUUGACGGUACCUAAUCAGAAAGCCACGGCUAACUACGUGCCAGCAGCCGCGGUAAUACGUAGGUGGCAAGCGUUAUCCGGAAUUAUUGGGCGUAAAGCGCGCGUAGGCGGUUUUUUAAGUCUGAUGUGAAAGCCCACGGCUCAACCGUGGAGGGUCAUUGGAAACUGGAAAACUUGAGUGCAGAAGAGGAAAGUGGAAUUCCAUGUGUAGCGGUGAAAUGCGCAGAGAUAUGGAGGAACACCAGUGGCGAAGGCGACUUUCUGGUCUGUAACUGACGCUGAUGUGCGAAAGCGUGGGGAUCAAACAGGAUUAGAUACCCUGGUAGUCCACGCCGUAAACGAUGAGUGCUAAGUGUUAGGGGGUUUCCGCCCCUUAGUGCUGCAGCUAACGCAUUAAGCACUCCGCCUGGGGAGUACGACCGCAAGGUUGAAACUCAAAGGAAUUGACGGGGACCCGCACAAGCGGUGGAGCAUGUGGUUUAAUUCGAAGCAACGCGAAGAACCUUACCAAAUCUUGACAUCCUUUGACAACUCUAGAGAUAGAGCCUUCCCCUUCGGGGGACAAAGUGACAGGUGGUGCAUGGUUGUCGUCAGCUCGUGUCGUGAGAUGUUGGGUUAAGUCCCGCAACGAGCGCAACCCUUAAGCUUAGUUGCCAUCAUUAAGUUGGGCACUCUAAGUUGACUGCCGGUGACAAACCGGAGGAAGGUGGGGAUGACGUCAAAUCAUCAUGCCCCUUAUGAUUUGGGCUACACACGUGCUACAAUGGACAAUACAAAGGGCAGCGAAACCGCGAGGUCAAGCAAAUCCCAUAAAGUUGUUCUCAGUUCGGAUUGUAGUCUGCAACUCGACUACAUGAAGCUGGAAUCGCUAGUAAUCGUAGAUCAGCAUGCUACGGUGAAUACGUUCCCGGGUCUUGUACACACCGCCCGUCACACCACGAGAGUUUGUAACACCCGAAGCCGGUGGAGUAACCAUUUGGAGCUAGCCGUCGAAGGUGGGACAAAUGAUUGGGGUGAAGUCGUAACAAGGUAGCCGUAUCGGAAGGUGCGGCUGGAUCACCUCCUUU